rnacentral:ribozyme from 13 species
AGAAGGAAAGAGAACAGGGACAUUGAAGAGGUGAACUGAGUUCACAAAAGGGGAGAAAAAUUUCCUUUUUUGCUUCUUUUUUGUUUUCCUCUCCCUUUUCUUUCUCUCUCUUUUCACUCUCUUUUUUUUCACUCUCUUUUCCUUUUUCUAAAAC